rnacentral:rRNA from 1 species
UACACACCGCCCGUCACACCACGAAAGCUGUUUGUACCCAAAGCCACUUUAGCUAACCUGUAAAGGAGGCGAGUGUCUAAGGUAUGAAGAGUGAUUGGGGUG